ensembl:lncRNA
AGGGAAAAAACCGGUUUGAGCCAAGAGCAGAUUUCGGUGAAUUGGGGUCCCGUCUUGCGGGAAAGAAGCUUUGCCACCCUGGGAAUCCAGGCUGGUAGCCCCUCUGGGACUGGCUGGGCUCUCUUCUGAAGGGGAGACGUCAUGGUGCCCCCAGGCUUGCACGCAGCGCCCCAGCUGGGCCGCAACAUCUCCUGCAAGGGUGAGAGGCCUUGGGGAUGGCUGUGAGCUGCUCUGGGCUACUCAGCACACGGGCAGUCCGGCCCCGGGUUCCGGAGGGGCGCGCUGAGGGACGGCUCUGCUUCCCUGGCUUUCCCCGCGGCCGCUGCCACCUGCCUGCGAGAAGACCCGGCCUCCCUCGCCCCACCCUGCCCCGGUUCAAAAGGCUUUCUAGUGGCUGGACCCCAUGGUCGUUCCCUCCUUUCCCCAGGUGUGGCAAAUGAAGGUGGGGCCGCCGACAGCUGCAGGUGUGACAGGAAGACGGAAGUAACUCCCUGGCCGGCACGGCAAUUCCCUGAGAAACUGCAGUUCUGGGAUUUCUGUGGGCACUUUGUCCGAUUCACCUUCUUCCCGCAGAAGCCCACGCGGUUCUGCGGCUUAAAGGACACCCCCUGGGCCGUCACUCUCAUGGAGGCCUUUCCAGAGAAGAACAAAGCCGUGCUGGAGGGGAAGGAUGCGCAGAGCCGGGCUCCCAGCCCCAGCCCUUCUGCCACCCACCCAGUCUCCGAGGGACCUCAGGGGACGCCCAGGAGCAGAGCCACGGGUGAGACCCUGGGAACGCAGCUGGCGCCGGCCUUCAGCACGCCUGCGGGUCGCUUGACGGCACCAGGAGCGGGGGGGCAGAGCCCACAUCUGGAAAGAAGGCACGGAACAGCUGGAGUUGCCCCUGCAGCCAGUGAAGGUGAACCAGGUGACAGCGGCUUCCCAGAGCGGGCCAGAGCGGGGCUCUCUCAGGCGGCCUGGGUUCUCCUGCCUGCUGGCUUCUUGAUUGGGGUCGCACUUGUCUGGGUGAUGCAUCGCAGGCGGCGGUGGCGGCAGGACCAGCAGAACCCACGGCCUGCUGGNGACUGUCCCAAGGAGCCUGCUGAGGAGCUGCUUUGCCGGCCUCCGGGCGAGGAGACCUGACACAGCGCCCAGGCGCCCAUCACUUGGAGCACUUUACCCAAAGGGGCCCUGCAGGCAGAGAACGCACGGGGUCUAGCAAGGGAGGAGGGGGGCAGGCCGGCCCCCGUCCAGCUGCACUUCCUUUGGUCCUUCCAGUGCCUUUGUUUUCUGCAAAGUAAACAAGAAAUGGCUUUUUGCUCUGUGCCGUUGCCGAGUGACUCAGAGCCCUGCGUGGGAGCNGUUCCUGGCCGGGUCUGUCGCGCCCGCGUUUCUGCCCACACUUCCUCCUCUGACAUCUNGGACUUUCCCAGCGGCCGAAAGGGGAAGCGGGGAGUUGCCCUGAAGGAGGCGGCUUGGUCCUCCCACGGGGUGCCCUGCGUGGUCCAGAGCAGAGCGGGAGGCGGCUGCUGCAUUCCAGCCCCCUUUUCUCCUGCGCCAGAACGGCUGCCCUGGGCCGCGGGGUGAUCUGUGCGUUACGGGGCCCUCUCUAUUUGCAGAGCUGGGCCGGGCCAGACAAGGAGGUCUUGGGCGCAACGGAGGAGACAGGCUUGGGGAGUCACACCGUGUGGAACCNUAAACGGGGUGCCCGGGUGGAACAUGCCCUGUGCCUCNUCUUUUUAAAAAGACCUUUAAGGAAUAUUAGCUGGGAAAGCAGGAACCACCUUCCAACACAGAUUUCGCUGUUUGCCUCUUGGAAGGCGGUGGCAGCAGCGGCAUGAAGUGGUGGUCAGGGCAGUGGAGGGCGUGGUGGCUGGACCACAGCUGGGCGGAAGGCUGCAGGCCUCACAUGCCCACCCACCCAGGGUGCCUGCCUGCUUUCCCUGCCCUUGGGCUCCCUCCUGGGGCUGCUGGGUAUCCAGACCUGGUUCCCGCUUCUCCACCUGCAGCCGGAGGGUGUCCAGGUGCCCUGGGAUGCUUUUGGCUCCUGCUCCGGGNUUGUCGUGCGUGAGAGGAGGCAGCAGGAGGAGCAUGUGGUGCGCCUUGUGCAGGAUGCCGCCAGAUGCGGUUCCCUCUGGGACCC